CGCUCAAAUUGCUGUUCCGAGAUUGAGCGUUGGCCGCCAUUACUAAGGAGGGCAGAAAAACGAACGACCCAACAAGAUACUGUGCACAACAUACGUGGAAAAUUUGAAGAAGCCAGGUUCGUGCGUUGCAUUUGGUUGUUCGAACCGAAGAAAGAAAGGGAACUGCAUAAUAUUUCACAAAAAUACACCCAAGAGAGGAAAAGGAUGUUACACACCACUCCUUCCUAGUGCUGUGCCUACUGUCUUUCCUGGACAUCCUCCCUAUAAACAGACCCAUGACUCAAGACUCACAGCAAAACCAUGUACAACAUCCGAAAGUGUUCCCGUGCCUACAAAGAAACCCUAUGACAUUACAAAAGAACAUGACUAUUCUUUUUUGUCUGAGUUGAUCAGAAACUGAAGAUAACCAGACAGCAACUGCAGGAUGCCAAGAAACAGCUUCAAGUGGUGAAACAGAAGGUAAACAGGAGAGAUGGAAAAACCAGGACUCUCUUGCAGGAAGUCCACGAAAGCAAGCUCAUUAGCCAGGAUCAGCUCGACCUACUUCAACACAACUUUGGAGAGAACGCAUUUACAGAAAACCCCAAUUUUGUCUUAUUUCAUCAAUAUUUGUUUUCAAACAUAUUUGUUUAUGAAAACCUACAGAAUGUUAAAUGGCAUCCUAUUUCACAUUAUACAAUUUAAGUGAAAUUUUACCAUCAAAUUUUGGGGGCUCCAAACACUUUAGAGGGGCUUUAAUAUACAUGUUCCAGCAUUUUACAAGUUUCAAGUAAUUGUAGGACAUGACGUCUAAAUUCACAUCACAGGGAUUGUGUCUGGUGUGGAUUGGCUACGAUGUAAAUAGGCUUUCUUGAUCUGGAGAAUGAUACUAUAGUGACAUCUUGUGUUUUACAAUUACAACUGUUCUGUAGUCUAUACACUGUUGCAAAUGUUAAGGAGACCAGGGCUUAAAGCCCUUCUUGAAGUCAGGAAAACCUGUUUUUUCUCUUUUUAUAGUGAGCAAAAUUUCUCAGUCUAUGCAAAAAAGAAAACAUAGAACUUAAUUUGUACAAACUACAGAGACAGGUCAGUCUUUUAUAUUUUGCCUCUUGUCUGCAUAGCUUAUCCACUGGAUGAUUGACUGUGAAGCCAUUUAAAACUGGAGAGAGCUUUCAAUAAUAUUCAAGAAAAACAGAACAAUCUGAGACUUUUGUUCUGCGUAAUGAAAUAAAAUUCUUGGGACACAUUGUGACAGUUGCACAACUUAACCAUAAUGUUCUGUUCGUUAACUUUACACGAAGGCAAACUAAAGUGGAACUUAGAAGAGUCGAUUACAUUAGGGGUAAAAAAUAUGUACUUGAACUUUGAGUUGUUGUGAGGUACACUGUAUUUGAAUAUUUACUCUAUAAGCUUCAUAAUUGUACCUGCUGUAUCUGAAUCAGUUGCUCUAAUGUUUGCAAAUUAUUUGCACUCUACAUGUGCUUUGAUUCUGCAGGUUUAGAUAACCUGAGAUUAACAUGUAAACCUUUUUUAUAACAUUGUCUGGAUUGCUCUCAACCAAGUGAUUUGCAUCAUUGACGAUGAAAAGCAAGAAAUUCACAUCAAGUGAGCCACGUUUUUGAUAAAGUAAACGAGGAGAAUUCACAGAUGUGUGGCAAUUGAAAAGCUUUGUGUACUGCACAGUUGCACACCUUAUACACACCCAUAGAUCUUUUUUGUACAUAGGUUUGAAUUUGGCCCAAAAUGGAAAACUGCUUUUGAAGAGAUUUGAUAACAGAACAAUUAUAUGGAAUAAUGUCACUAGAUGUAAACCCAUAAGAUUGUGCACUCUUUUGUUAGGCCUAUCUAUAUCUACUGUGUAAAUUUGAGGGUAAUCAGUUUCAAAACUAUUAUUAUUCCCUGAUGAAUAAUGAUGUCAAAAGACCUUGUUACUAUGAGGUUUCACUGAAUGGUGUAUUGCAGUAUCCUGAGAUGUAAGUGUCUUCAAUUAUAGUUCUUCAUAGCAAUACAGGUAACUUGGAAUA
rnacentral:lncRNA from 1 species